UUGCACUGACAAGUGUCCCCUUUGUUUAUUCUGUGGCCGAGGGAUCUCUUAAUGGUGCUAGAUCCCCUCUUGUUGAAAGGCCAGGCUAUCUUGUAACCUAUCCCUUCUGAUAGUUGGGUGCAAAA